rnacentral:rRNA from 1 species
UACCAGCACCCCGAGUGGUCGGGACGAUUAUUGGGCCUAAAGCAUCCGUAGCCGGUUCUACAAGUCUUCCGUUAAAUCCAGCUGCUUAACAGUUGGGCUGCGGAGGAUACUAUAGAGCUAGGAGGCGGGAGAGGCAAGCGGUACUUAGUGGGUAGGGGUAAAAUCCGUUGAUCCACUGAAGACCACCAGUGGCGAAGGCGGCUUGCCAGAACGCGCUCGACGGUGAGGGAUGAAAGCUGGGGGAGCAAACCGG